rnacentral:tRNA from 1 species
GCGCCCGUAGCUCAGUUGGAUAGAGCAACGGAUUUCUAAUCCGUCGGUCGGGGGUUCGAGUCCCUCCGGGCGCG